GCCUCAAGUAAGGGACUUUUGUACCAUGAUGUUAAAAUAUUUUACACUGUUAAUCCUUGUAAAUCUUAAGAAACUAUGCUAUAGUCAAAGAUUCUUUGAAAUAGUACUUAUGUCAAGAAGUCCCACACUUGUUGAUCAUUGCCAACCCCACCAGAUGAGACAGAAAAUUUGAAGGUGACUGGAACGGAGAAGAAUGUCCUUCCUCAGUUAUGAGAUGUCCCUGAUAAUGAAGAGAAAUGAAACUCUGGCCAGUUCAUUUAAUUUUUCUGUCUCACCCUACAAAAUUUA
rnacentral:lncRNA from 1 species